rnacentral:rRNA from 1 species
CACGUAGGGGCCAAGCGUUGUCCGGAUUUAUUGGGCGUAAAGAGCUCGUAGGCGGCUCGGUAAGUCGGGUGUGAAACCUCCAGGCUCAACCUGGAGACGCCACCCGAUACUGCUGUGGCUAGAGUCCGGUAGGGGAGCGUGGAAUUCCUGGUGUAGCGGUGAAAUGCGCAGAUAUCAGGAGGAACACCAGCGGCGAAGGCGGCACUCUGGGCCGGAACUGACGCUGAGGAGCGAAAGCGUGGGGAGCGAACAGG